rnacentral:rRNA from 1 species
UGGGGAAUAUUGGUACAAUGGGCGAAAGCCUGAUCCAGCCAUGCCGCGUGUGUGAAGAAGGUCUUCGGAUUGUAAAGCACUUUAAGUUGGGAGGAAGGGCAGUAAGUUAAUACCUUGCUGUUUUGACGUUACCAACAGAAUAAGCACCGGCUAACUUCGUGCCAGCAGCCGCGGUAAUACGAAGGGUGCAAGCGUUAAUCGGAAUUACUGGGCGUAAAGCGCGCGUAGGUGGUUCAGCAAGUUGGAUGUGAAAUCCCCGGGCUCAACCUGGGAACUGCAUCCAAAACUACUGAGCUAGAGUACGGUAGAGGGUGGUGGAAUUUCCUGUGUAGCGGUGAAAUGCGUAGAUAUAUGGAGGAACACCGGUGGCGAAAGCGGCUCUCUGGUCUGUAACUGGCGCUGAGGCUCGAAAGCGUGGGGAGCGAACAGGAUUAGAUACCCUGGUAGUCCACGCCGUAAACGAUGAGUGCUAGGUGUUGGAUCCUUUCCGGGAUUCAGUGCCGCAGCUAACGCAUUAAGCACUCCGCCUGGGGAGUACGACCGCAAGGUUG